rnacentral:antisense_RNA from 1 species
UGUGGGAGCGAGCUUGCUCGCGAUGACGUCAGAUCAGCAGCAUCCCUGUUGGCUGACAGGGCGCUAUCGCGAGCAAGCUCGCUCCCACA